UGACAAGAUGUGGCCGUUUCGAUCAUGAG
rnacentral:piRNA from 1 species